CUUUUCAUUCCCGUUGUUAUGGAGGGCCACAUCUGCCAGAGCCUGGAGUCUGCGAAGGCCGGGACCCGGUUCCCCGGCCCACAGUGGGGGUGUGCAAACCCGAGAGAACUGGUCGCUGAAACCUCUACAACUUAGUUGACCGUAACUGCCAGAGCCCUGCCCUGAAUUCCUGUCCUUACUCCCUCUUUAAGAUUGCGUACCCACUGCAGAGUGCUGAAGACGGGGUUGCAAAUUCGUGAAGAAUCAGCAUCAUGUUUGGCAGCUGAGUAUUGGAGCCAGGAGCCUGCCAUGAGGUUUUGAGAACAGAGUGCUGUUUUAGAGCUGGCAGCAGCAUCUCAGCCCAAGAGAAGGUUAUAUUCCCAGAGGAUGUCAGUCCCAAGGACCAGUAGCUGCCAUCAGUUUGGAUUCUGAAAACUAACUGGCAUCAACACUGGGUGUAGAAACAUGCUUGCCUUAUGUAUCAGAGGACAUGCUCAGCAGAUCCAAGAGAUAUAUUUGGCAACUUUUUCUAGAAAAGGCACAUUGGGUAUCAUUCAUUACAUUCUUGAGUUUUUUUGGGUUUUUUUUUUUUUUUUUGAGACAGUCUUGCUGUAUUGCCCAGGCUGGAGUGUGGUGGCACAAUCACAGCUCAUUGCAUCCUCAAUCACCCAGGCCUAAGCAAUCCUCCCACCUUGUAGCUGGGACUACAGCUCACAGCACACCUGGCUAAAAUUUUUUUUUUGUUGAGACGGAUUCUCUAUGUUGCCCAGGCUGGUCUCAGGCUCCUGGGCUCAGAUGGUCCUCCUGCCUCAGCUUCCAAAGGCACAGGCCAAGUUGUAGCUUUGUCCCUUGCCAUCAUGCCCAACAAGAGGUUCUAUACCUUUUAAUGAAUUGACUUUCAUAAAUUGGUUAUGUUGGUGGGCAAAGUUCUUUAAGCUGGAAAUUGUAAAUUCCUCCUGAAAUGUUUUUUCAUGCAGUUACCAUGAACUAAUACUACAAUAAAGGAUGGUCUUGGGUGUCAAUUCUUGAAAA
ensembl:lncRNA SNHG29 small nucleolar RNA host gene 29